rnacentral:rRNA from 1 species
UGUAAGCGUAUACCAAAGUUGUUGCAGUUAAAACGCUCGUAGUCGGAAUUUGGCAGUUCCGGAUGUGUGCACGUCGUGUGCGCACUUCGCGGGGAUUGCUUUUGUGGCCUUGCGUAGGAUGAGGCACUUUUAUUAGUGAACGUCCUCACGCAACCACUUUUUACUGUGAGAAAAUCAGAGUGCUCAAAGCAGGCAUUUGCCGUGAAUGUAUUAGCAUGGAAUAAUAGAAUAGGACUUGGUUCUAUUUUGUUGGUUUGUUGGGACUGAGUAAUGAUUAAGAGGGACAGUUGGGGGCAUUUGUAUUUCGGUGCUAGAGGUGAAAUUCUUAGAUUGCCGAACGACAAACUGCUGCGAAAGCGUCUGCCAAGGAUGUUUUCAUUGA